rnacentral:lncRNA from 1 species
AGCUUCCGGAGCAGCUGGGACUGCUGGCGCCCGCCACUACGCUCGGCUAAUUUUUUUGUGUUUUUAGUAGAGACGGGCUUUCACCGUGUUGGCCUAGCGGUUCUCCAACUCCUGACCUCAUGAUCCCCCCGCCUCAGCCUCCCAAAGUGCUGGGAUUACAAGCGUGAGCCACCGCGACCCGCCAACACUCUUGACAACAGUGCUGUGCUAAGAACUUGGGGGACUUCAAAAAGUUCACCAGUUCCUGUGUCCAUGGGUGAAAAGAUUUUCUACAUCUUUCCUUGACUAGAAACAGAAGUCCUGAAACAAGGUACACCUUCUUGAGGCUUACUUGAAUAUAACGUCAGGAGGCCAGAGGCUUUGUCCUGCCUAAUGUGUUAUUUCCACACUGAAUAAAAGCACCUGAGUCCUGGUCUCAGAGUGAGAACAAUGUCUUCUAUGAUGAGUGGCAAACACAACAAGGCAUUUUAAAAAGGUUGUACAUCUAGCAAUACCUAACAAAAUAGGAAAUCAACUUG